rnacentral:rRNA from 1 species
UACGUAGGUGACCAGCGUUGUCCGGAUUUACUGGGCGUAAAGAGCGCGCAGGCGGUCGUUCAAGUCGAGUGUGAAAGCCCCCGGCUCAACUGGGGAGGGUCAUUCGAUACUGAUCGACUUGAAGGCAGGAGAGGGAAGUGGAAUUCCCGGUGUAGUGGUGAAAUGCGUAGAUAUCGGGAGGAACACCAGUGGCGAAGGCGACUUCCUGGCCUGUUCUUGACGCUGAGGCGCGAAAGCUAGGGAGCAAACGGG